rnacentral:lncRNA from 1 species
GUGGGAAGCCAGGUGCCAUGUAAUGAGGACACUCAGGCAUUCUACGGAGAAACCCACAUGGCAGAGAAUGGAAGCCUAUGGCCAAUAACCAACAGGAAUUGAGACCUGCUAGCAACUAACCACAUGAUCCUGGUAGCAGAUUCUCAAGCCCCAAGUUUUGCCCGUUCGGAUCCUGGGCGCAGACCAAGCACUGCUCAUCAAGCCAUGCUGAGGCAGCGUUCCACAUAGCACAAGCAGAGGCACUCACAGCUGGAAUAUACAACUAUGUACUGGGGGCCUUUGGGGAGAAGAAGAAGAAGAAAAAGAAGAAGAUUGGCAACAGAAGUUAGCUCAGAUUUUAUAUUGUCCUAAACAUUAAGAGGAAGACCACUAGAAUUAGAAAGAUGUAGGCCUUUCUUGAAUAUGUAAAUAAAGUUAUGUAUUGGUUUUAUCACUAAGCAGAUCCCAGGACACAAGGUGCAACCAUAUAUUAAAAUGAAAAUUAAGUAGAAGAUACUGUAAGUAUCAUAUUUGUUUGUUUGUUUUUUUAAGUUCUGAGGGUAGUAGUAUACAUUUGACUCUGAUCUGUGUAGAUGACACAAGUUGCUUUGCAAAAGUGCUCAUCCAGGG